CUGUAAUGAGCUAUGAUUGUACCACUGCAUUCCAGCCUGGGUGACAGAGUGAGACGCCCGUCACCAUUUUUUAUUUUUUAUUUUUUUUUUGAGGGAGUCUCACUUUAUCACCCAGGUUGGAGUGCAGUGGCACCAUCUCAAUUCACUGCAACUUCUCCCUCCCGGAUUUAAGCAGUUUCUUGUGUCUCAGCUUCCUGAGUAGCUGGGAUUACAGGCAUGCACCACCACGCCCAACUAAUUUUUGUAUUUUUAGUAGACACAGGGUUUCGCUAUGUUGCCCAGGCUGGUCUCAAACU
rnacentral:lncRNA from 10 species